AUGCAGCUCAUAUCUGGUGGUCAGAUUGUUGACUCUAGUUGUAGAGUCAUUCUUGACUUUGAUUCGUGUUCUGUUCAGGAUCGUCACACGGGCGUUCUACUUGGUGUUGGCCCUCGACGCUCUGAGGGUCUCUGGGAGCUUGACUGGCUUCGUCUUCCCUCUGCUACCACCGCCACCAGUCUCACAGCCCAUGUUGCUUCAUCUACCAGCUCUUUUCAGCAAUGGCAUUAUCGUCUUGGCCAUUUAUGUGGUUCUCGUCUCUUGUCUUUGGUUCAUCGCGGUGUUCUGGGGUCUGUCUCCGGUAAUGCUUCGUUGGAUUGUCUAGGUUGUAGGCUUGGCAAGCAGAUUCAGCUACCCUAUCCUCAUAGUGAGUCAGUGUCCGAGCGCCCUUUUGAUCUCGUUCACUCUGACGUUUGGGGUCCGGCUCCCUUCGCUUCGAAAGGAGGCCACCGAUAUUAUAUUAUUUUUAUAGACAAUUUUUCUCGGUACACAUGGAUCUAUUUCAUGUCUUCUCGUAGUGAGGUCUUAUCUAUAUACAAAAAAUUUGCUGCCAUGGUUCAUACCCAGUUUUCGACUCCUAUUCGUGUUUUUCAUGCAGAUUCAGCUGGUGAGUAUAUCUCCCAUGCGCUGCGAAGAUUCCUUGCUGAGCAGGGUACUCUAGCUCAGUUCUCUUGUCCUGGUGCUCAUGCUCAAAAUGGUGUGGCUGAGCGCAAGAAUCGUCACCUUCUUGAGACGGCGCGUGCGAUGAUGAUUGCCGCCUCUCUUCCGCCUCACUUCUAG
rnacentral:rRNA from 1 species